AUUGAACGCUGGCGGCAGGCCUAACACAUGCAAGUCGAGCGGGGUUUUCGGACCUAGCGGCGGACGGGUGAGUAAUGCGUAGGAAGCUGCCCGAUAGAGGGGGAUACCAGUUGGAAACGACUGUUAAUACCGCAUAAUGUCUACGGACCAAAGUGUGGGACCUUCGGGCCACAUGCUAUCGGAUGCGCCUACGUGGGAUUAGCUAGUUGGUGAGGUAAUGGCUCACCAAGGCGACGAUCUCUAGCUGGUUUGAGAGGAUGAUCAGCCACACUGGAACUGAGACACGGUCCAGACUCCGACGGGAGGCAGCAGUGGGGAAUAUUGGACAAUGGGCGCAAGCCUGAUCCAGCCAUGCCGCGUGUGUGAAGAAGGCCUUCGGGUUGUAAAGCACUUUCAGCGAGGAGGAAGGGUGGUGUGUUAAUAGCACAUCAUCUUGACGUUACUCGCAGAAGAAGCACCGGCUAACUCUGUGCCAGCAGCCGCGGUAAAAC
rnacentral:rRNA from 1 species